rnacentral:rRNA from 1 species
CCUACGGGUGGCUGCAGUGGGGAAUAUUGCGCAAUGGGCGAAAGCCUGACGCAGCGACGCCGCGUGAGGGAUGAAGGUCUUCGGAUCGUAAACCUCUGUCAGCAGGGAAGAACGGGCACGGGGCUAAUCAGCAGUGAAUUGACGGUACCUGCAAAGGAAGCACCGGCUAACUCCGUGCCAGCAGCCGCGGUAAUACGGAGGGUGCGAGCGUUCACCGGACUUACUGGGCGUAAAGCGCGCGCAGGCGGUAUGUCAAGUCAAGGGUGAAAUCCCCGCGCUCAACGUGGGAACGGCCUUUGAAACUGGCGACCUGGAGUGUGUGAGAGGAUAGUGGAAUUCCAGGUGUA